UACGUAGGGGGCAAGCGUUGUCCGGAUUUAUUGGGCGUAAAGAGCGUGUAGGCGGCUUUACAGGUCCGUUGUGAAAACUCGAGGCUCAACCUCGAGACGCCGGUGGAAACCGUAAGGCUAGAGUCCGGAAGAGGAGAGUGGAAUUCCUGGUGUAGCGGUGAAAUGCGCAGAUAUCAGGAAGAACACCCGUGGCGAAGGCGGCUCUCUGGGACGGUACUGACGCUGAGACG
rnacentral:rRNA from 1 species